rnacentral:rRNA from 1 species
UACAGAGGUCUCGAGCGUUAGGCGGAAUCACUGGGCUUAAAGCGUGUGUAGGUGGAUCGGUAAGUACCUUGUGAAAUCCCACAGCUUAACUGUGGAACUGCUUGGUAUACUGCCAGUCUUGAGCCAGCUAGGGGCUACCGGAACAAAUGGUGGAGCGGUGAAACGCGUAGAUAUCAUUUGGAACGCCAAUGGCGAAAACAGGUAGCUGGGGCUGUGCUGACACUGAGACACGAAAGCCAGGGGAGCAAACGGG